rnacentral:rRNA from 1 species
GACGAAGGGGGCUAGCGUUGUUCGGAAUUACUGGGCGUAAAGCGAGUGUAGGUGGUUGUCCAAGUUGGAUGUGAAAGCCUUGAGCUCAACUCAAGAAAUGCAUUCAGGACUGGAUGACUAGAGGACCGGAGAGGAUAGUGGAAUUCCCAGUGUAGUGGUGAAAUACGUAGAUAUUGGGAAGAACACCAGUGGCGAAGGCGGCUAUCUGGACGGUUUCUGACACUAAGACUCGAAAGCGUGGGUAGCAAACAGG